rnacentral:rRNA from 1 species
AUACGUAGGGUGCAAGCGUUAAUCGGAAUUACUGGGCGUAAAGCGUGCGCAGGCGGUUUUGUAAGACAGUGGUGAAAUCCCCGGGCUCCAACUGGGAACUGCCAUUGUGACUGCAAGGCUGGAGUGCGGCAGAGGGGGAUGGAAUUUCGCGUGUAGCAGUGAAAUGCGUAGAUAUGCGGAGGAACACCGAUGGCGAAGGCAAUCCCCUGGGCCUGCACUGACGCUCAUGCACGAAAGCGGGGGGAGCAAACAGGAUUAGAUACCCUGGUAGUCCACGCCCUAAACGAUGUCAACUGGUUGUUGGGGAUUUAUUUUCUCUGUAACGAAGCUAACGCGUGAAGUUGACCGCCUGGGGAGUACGGCCGCAAGGUUAAAACUCAAAUGAAUUGACGGGG